UCACCAACGUUAACGCUUGGACUGCAAAGCCAUGCGAUUUAUUCAUGUAUUUAUUAUUCGUGAGCGUUAUUACAAUGAGCAUUGUUUUAUUAUGUUGUUAAAGCACAUUGCAGAGAUGAUUGCUCAAUUACAAGUUGUCUUUCAGACUGAGUCUCCAGGUUGAUUUCAAAAGUGUGUCAUCAGCCCGUUGGACUCCCAUAGGUUUCCUGUGUAUCUGCUGUUUGGUCUGUACAAAUCCACAUUAUGAACAAGGCUAUACAUAAAUAUUGAAUUACAUUUAACUUCUUGCUUUGUGUGUGCUUAUAGCCUUUAUUUUAUUAUAGAUACUUCAAGCCACUGUGUCUCACCGACAUAAGAAGAAACAAAACACUUCAAAGUCUGUUACAAAGAGGAAGUAAUAAGAGACAUUGCAGAUUGGGAGAUUUAACAUCAUCAGUGUAUCACUGGUCCAACUACCACUAAAAGUUUGCAUUCUCAGACGACCUUGUUUUGGAUCUAAAAUAUGCUGUUUAUUCAUCAGCGCUUCUCAAAUGUAAGCUGUUUUAAUGUAACAGCCAUCAAACAGAACCAUAGAAAUAAGUUGACGGAAGACACAUGGUAUGUGGUACACACCUACAUAAAUAAACAAUAAUGGGAUUACCCUGAGCCAACUGAAGGAAGAACGGCCGUUUUUGUAGUAUUAUCAUUUACUAUGUGACAUCCAGACUUCUGUACUGAUUUUUGGUAAUCUGUUCUUAAUGCAGGUUAGUAAUUAUGUUGACGAGAAAGAGAGUCCUUGAUGAUGCCUGUGACUCAAAAAUGUUUAAGGGGGGAAGCUCGAUUCUAGAUUACCAUGAUUCGUCUGUAUCAUCUGCCAUUUUAGACAUUUUUGUAUAUAAAUUGCAUGUCUGGUUGACAUUUGCUUUUGAAGUGGA